UCAUAAAAUCAUAGAAUCACUUAGAUUGGAAAAGACCCUUAAGAUUAUUGAGUCCAACUGUUAACCUAACACUACCAGGUCCACCCCUAAACCAUGUCUCUAAAGAUCCCCACAUCUUUUAAA